GUUCACGGCGUCUGCAUUCUCGCAGGCAGCCCUCACAGGGAUGAGUAUCGGACGAUUUCCUACUGCUCGCUCCCGGAGAUCCGGGGGACGACGCAUGGAUCAACUUAUCCCGAUGAGGCCGUGAGAUGAAAACGGGAUGAUCUGGGAAUCAUGUGUGUUUGCUGGAAAGUGAGGAAGAGUUUGAUGUCGUCUCGUGAAACGUGUGGCGAAAGGUGAACAGCGUAGCUCGGCGUUUCGGGCCUUCGAAACUCACGAUCACAAUCAUCUGAUAAGGCGCCCUGCUACGAACUCAUGUGAAGGUCGGCAUGGUGUAUCGGCGAGCUCGGUCAUGCAGCAUAUUAGUGCACUCACCGGAUAACAUCAAACUUGUAAACAGAGAAGAUGUGAUGUUAUCUGGUGAGUGCGCUAAUACGCGGCAUGAUCUCAUAAUACGCGGCCGUUCUCACACAAGUGGUUCGCAUGUCAGGGACAUUUAUCAAGACGCUUCCGAUGAAGAUACAGAAGGCGAAAUACAUGUGUUACACCAGCGAGGUUCACAUACGGCUCAGCUCAUUUGAGCAACGCUUCGACGGAACAGGCGUUACCGAUCGCAAAGUGCCGAUGACUAAAGUGCACGGACGCAUGUACAGAUGUUCAGUCAGAGUGCAGUUAUGAAGGAUGCUCUCCACUGGCAUACAUGGACAUGACCAACGUUCAAGAUGCCAACGUCUUGCGCACGUCAGCGAAGCAGAUGCUUGGCACAUCGGUCACAGGUCUUAGGGUGUUAAUAGGUGCUUCUCGAGGUCCGUCUCAGGCGAUCUCCCCACAUCGGAACCUUUACAGCUCAAGUGCUCAGAAUGAUGCAUACCACGAAGCUUAUUCAGGAGCACCACACCGCGCGGCUUGACCUCAUAUUGGCCAAGUUAACAACGGCACCAACGGAAGGGCCUGCAGAAAAUGACAUCUUGAGGGAGCCAUUCUAAUAUUGUCAAGAGCUUCUGCGAUUCGAUGUCUCUCUUUACCAUCACAAGGGCUAUAAUUGAUACGUUCUGCACAAUCCCACUCAUACUCCACGCGCAUUGUCUACAUGUAUUUGGGAUAAGGUUGUGCGUAAAGUUCUGUUUUCGUCAGUUGAGUAACUCAUGGCUUCUCUUAACGUUGCGGGAGCACGUUCUUCUGAGAUGCGGGGGCAGUGACGAAAGGGACGCCACUAGACUGAUCCUAUGUCAACUGAUGUCAGAUGAUGUGGCACAGAACCUCAGUUACAAGGGUCGUCAAGGGAAAAAAAAGGAACUGCAGCACCCUCAAUCUGGGGAAAGAUUGUCAUUCGUAUGUGCUUUGCUCUGCAUACUAAAGUGCUUAUAACACUCAAAUCAUCCAUUUGCAGCCUUGAAACUGUCUUGUCGUGCUCUCAUGCAUGCUCAAACCACUAGAAUGUUGCCCGCUCGAAGGUUCAUCCAGUGUAUAAAUGUGUGGGUGGAUUAUUUGCCUCCUGUAAUCCUGUUUUCUCUCGUGGGGUUUAAUAUCCGCAGUUGUAUGCAAUACUUACUUGAGUACUACAGUAAUAAUAAAUUCGUAAUAAUAAAGUA